GAUGAACGCUGGCGGCGUGCCUAAUACAUGCAAGUCGAGCGAACGGACGAGAAGCUUGCUUCUCUGAUGUUAGCGGCGGACGGGCGAGUAACACGUGGAUAACCUACCUAUAAGACUGGGAUAACUUCGGGAAACCGGAGCUAAUACCGGAUAAUAUUUUGAACCGCAUGGUUCAAAAGUAAAAGACGGCUUUGCUGUCACUUAUAGAUGGAUCCGCGCUGCAUUAGCUAGUUGGUAAGGUAACGGCUUACCAAGGCAACGAUGCAUAGCCGACCUGAGAGGGUGAUCGGCCACACUGGAACUGAGACACGGUCCAGACUACUACGGGAGGCAGCAGUGGGGAAUCUUGCGCAAUGGGCGAAAGCCUGACGGAGCAACGCCGCGUGAGUGAUGAAGGUCUUCGGAUCGUAAAACUCUGUUAUUAGGGAAGAACAUAUGUGUAAGUAACUGUGCACAUCUUGACGGUACCUAAUCAGAAAGCAACGGCUAACUACGUG
rnacentral:rRNA from 1 species